GACGUCAGCACCACAUUCCACCUCUCCGCGGUUAGGGCUGACGGGAAACUCCAGCCUCCAGCAAAAUCCCUCAAAUGAGAUAACAGCUGAGGCCUGCACUAAAUCAGACUAAAAACUCCCUGAUGUUCUGCUUUAAAGAGAACGAGACCGGGAGAGACAAGAGAUGGAGGAAGGGAGGAAGACAGAACAGAGCUGGCUUUGUUUAAAAGUAACAAACAACUUCCAACCUAUAUGGCGUAAGUGAGUCUUUCUAUGGUAUUCCAAACUACAGCAACUUCUACACUUGAAGACCUGUGCUGUGCACGGCAACAUGCCAUAGCCAGAUUUCCUGCUCUGAAGGAGUUAGCACCCUGCCAAAUAGCAAGAUAAGAGAAACCUACGUAACAGCUCUUAUAUUAGCUCUUAUAUGUCAGAUGCUAAAUGAGAGACACUAAUUUUGAAAAAAGAAAUAAGCAAACAAAUAAAAAACAAAUUAAAAAAAGGCUCAAACACUGGGGAGAGCUCACCAGCUGGAAAGAAUCAAGACAGACUUCAUGAGGAAGUAGAAUCUGAGAUGUUUUAAAUGAAGAGUUAAGACAUUCCAGGACGAGUAAGGGUGGAAAUGCCAGGAAUAUUGAGUUGGUUCAUGAACUGGGCCACAGAAUAAGUAACAGCAACAGAAGCACACAUUGGAAAAGUCUUACGAGGGAACCAUACCGUGCGCGCCGAGAACCGCAGGCGGCUGCCACACACUAUGAGGAACCACCUGAGGUGGCGAGGGUGUGUUUCCAAACCUUGGAUCAGGGCUACGACUACAUCACUGGUAGGAUACAAAAUGGUUUGAAGAAAACAGGCUGCAGAAGUAGGCAGGGAGCCAGCUGGAAGUUGCCACAGUGGUUCAAGCAAGGAGUAAGAAGGUAGCACUGAAAAUGAAAUAGAAAGAGAACCACAGAGCUGUUCUGGAGGGACAGACUCGGAAAGCCCAGGCACUUAUCUGUUCCUUACUGUCUGGUAUGCCAUGUUAGGCAGAUCCCCCCAGUCACCAGGAACAAGGAAUAAAUUCAUUAGGGCCAAAAUGUACCACGGCUGACCUAUUUCUCAGAGAUGAGACAGCUGGGAGAUUUUUAAAACUAACCCUUAUGUAAAGGUUUUCCUUGGUUUGUUUAUUUUGCAAGAUACUUGUUUUUAUAGCUUGGUAAUAAUAAAAUUAGGUGCGUGGGCAGCAUGGGUCACUCUUACCACAUCGUGUCCUGUUUCCUUACAUGUGGCAUGGGGAAGGACCUCUGAUGUACAGAGGUUUGGUUAUCCAGACUUCGGGUAUCAAGUUAGGCAGCAAGUGCUCCCGGAGACCUAUUCUUGGAACUUUCCAGGGCAGGAGUCAUGCCGCUUAAAGGUGGAGACCUUACUACCUCUUACACUUCCUGGCUUUCUGUGGUCUGGUUUCUUUCCAUCAUUUUGCAGAUGGUUGUGUGCCAAGAGACCUUGAUACGGAAUUACUUUAAAAAACAAAAGGCUCAAUAAUGGGCUACCUGAACUCUCGGCAUGCCCACAUCUCAUACACUUCUGGGAGCCCUAAGGUAAGAGCAGAGAAGGGCCACUCUGAGUAGGUGCCCCGGAGCCUCCAUGUCUGGUUGUUGAAGAGAUUAUCUUGGGUGCAUCAUAUUGCCUUUGAUCCUCUGACAAAGAUUAGUUGAUUAUACUUAUGUGUGUCUAUUUCUGGGCUCCCUAUUCCAUUCCACUGGGUCUAUUUUUGUCUGUUCCUUCACCAUUUCAACGCUGGCUUGGUUACUACAGUUUCACAGUAAGUCUUCAAGUUGGAUAACAUUAGCCCUCCAAUUUUGCUCUCCUUCGAUACUGUGUUGGGUACGUCAGGUCUUUGGUCUCUCCGUAUAAACAUUAGAAUCAGUUUGUUGAAUGAUCAUUUUAAGUACUUCUGAAUGUAUUUCUAGGACCAAGGUCAUUCCUUUGAAAAAAGGAGGGUACAAUGAACAUACUCUGGACAUUUGACAUUGUUAUUAUAAUCUAAUAAGCAGUCCAUAUUCAGAUUUCACCACUGUCCCAAUACUGUCUGUUAGAGCAAUUCUUUUCUACCCCAUGAUCACAAUUGUGGCUAGUAGCAGGACUUUGAUACUGAGUUUUGACUCUAUCUUUCGUGUGUUCAGAUUAUAAGACUUUAUCCCCGCCCACACUCAUCUCGGACCAUCGAGCCUUAGGUGAUUCGACAUCAGGAGGCACAACAUCAAGAGACACUGGUUCGGAGGACAGAGAGCCGGCAUCACUGCUCCCCUUCCACCCAGUCCUGCCCUGGGGGAGGGGCAGUGCUGGUGCGGACCAGCCCUGACAGGAGCACUACACACAGGAUUUCGGGGCUCCUCCACAGCCAGGGGUGGCCAGCCUCGUCGCCGGUAAGCAGAGCCGCUGCACUGAGCCUUGCCAACAAAUUCACAGUAGCUCCAAAGAGCAGUAAAAGCAAAAGACCUCCCCAGGUUGAGUGCUGUUGAGGGAUGGACUGGUCCUUACAGUUACUACACUAGGCCCCCCAUUAUCCACGGGGGGUCAUGACCAUGUUCCAAGGCCCUAGAGGAUGCCUGAAACCACGGACAGUACCAACUCUCUAUACGCUCUGUUUUCCCCCAUACAUAUGUACCUAUGAUGAAGUUUGAAAUUAGGCAUAGUAAGAAAUUAAUAACAGUAAUAAAACAGAACAAUUACAAUACACUGUAAUAAAAGUCUGUGAAUGUAA